rnacentral:rRNA from 1 species
CCUACGGGCGGCACCAGUGGGGAAUAUUGCACAAUGGGCGCAAGCCUGAUGCAGCCAUGCCGCGUGUAUGAAGAAGGCCUUCGGGUUGUAAAGUACUUUCAGCGGGGAGGAGGGUGUUGUGGUUAAUAACCACAGCAAUUGACGUUACCCGCAGAAGAAGCACCGGCUAACCCCGUGCCAGCAGCCGCGGUAAUACGGAGGGUGCAAGCGUUAAUCGGAAUUACUGGGCGUAAAGCGCACGCAGGCGGUCUGUCAAGUCGGAUGUGAAAUCCCCGGGCUCAACCUGGGAACUCCAUUCGAAACUGGCAGGCUAGAGUCUUGUAGAGGGGGGUAGAAUUCCAGGUGUAGCGGUGAAAUGCGUAGAGAUCUGGAGGAAUACCGGUGGCGAAGGCGGCCCCCUGGACAAAGACUGACGCUCAGGUGCGAAAGCGUGGGGAGCAAACAGGAUUAGAUACCCCCGUAGUC